CUGUUGCGUUGUGACUGGCCAAAAGCCUUGUGUGUCAGAAAUGUAACACCCCUUAGCUUUAGCUUUCAAGCCCAAGUCAGAUUCAGAAAAUGCAGAUGAUCAAGCGGAACCAACUUUGCAAAUUUGACUUGAGCAGAAUGUUUCACAGUGGCCUCGUACUUUAAUGAACUCCUCCUAGAGAUUUCAUCAGAUCAACAUCAUAUUAAAUUCAAAAUGGCUUGCUUUUCUGCCAUGGACAGCUCUCUGAUCUUCACGCUGGCUUAUCCUUUUUGACAACAAUUGCAGUCUUCAGAGGAGAAACUGAAGGCUAAAACCAAGAGCAGAUGUUCAGAGCUAUUUAUUGUUUAAAUAAUCAAUCUAACUGGACACACACCUGGGUAACAAGAAACACCUGUCAGUCACAUGUUCCAAUAUUUUUGCUCACCUACAAAUUGGGUGGUCUGAUACAAAAUGUACCAUGUCCUGUGUCAAUUUAUACAUCUACAUAUAUACCAGGAAAUAAAAGCUGAACUUCUAAA